CCAGACGCGUCUUGUCCGCAGACCAAUUUGGACCGGUUCAGUCCACUUUAACCUUCCUCCACUACCAGAACCACCAACACCACCAGCAGGACCGCCCCAGCUCAGUCCAGGCUUUGGACCGCCCCCAGCCAUCUCCACCAAUCACCCUGGCAGAGCUUAGAGUCAGCGAAGGAGGCGGGGUUACACAGGUUGAGGGAAGGCCCUGCCUGAAAGGCGACACUCGGGGUUUUUAACAUCAACAGUUACUCAGCCGACUAAAACCAAUCACUUGUAUCAGUUGUGUUUGUUUGUUUGUUUGUUUGUUUGUGUGGUUUUCGGAUUACUGUGAGUUCCAUCUGUCAGUCUGGUUUCACAUCCUCUAUUUUAUGUUUAUUUACCCUAGUUUUUCAUUUUUGUUUUUCUUUUUUUAACUUUUGUACUUAAGUUUUCUUUUGAUUUGUUGCAUUUUGUUCAUUUACUUUUUGUUUGUUUAUAUUGUUUUGUUUGUAUCUCUUUACCUUUACUUUUUGGUUUACCUUUUGUUUGUUUAUUUUUUAUUUCUAUGUCUGCUUUUGUUUUAUUUAUUUAUAUUUUGUUAAAUUAAUAUGCUUUUUGUUUUGUUUGCCUACUCUAGCUUUUUUCCCUGCUUAUUUAGUUUUUUUGGUUAACCUUUAUUUGUUUGUUUGUAAACUUUUCUGUUAAUGCUUUGUCCUCCCUGGUAAAGGAGAGGGUUUUUUAGUUCUUUGCUGCUUUUAAAGGGAAUGUAAAGGGAACUUUGGACUGUUGUCUUCUUUGUUUAUAAUUUGUAAAGUCUUUACAAUGUGAAAUUAUGAGAUGACAUGUUGUGAACUGAUGCUAAAAAAGUGAAACUGAACUGAGUAAAAAAAAAUUCAUAUGCUUUUUAGUUCAUUUACCUUUUGUUGGUGUACUUUUUGUUUUGUUUGCUUAUUUGUUUUCCUUUUGUUUGUUUGUUUGUUUUAGUGUUGCUGAUUGUUUCUUAUUCAGUGAAGGUCAUGAGUAAAUGUUUUGCUGUGCAAAAUUUAAUAAUGAACCAGAAGGGUGAACACAAUCAUCAGAUCUUUGUUCUGCAAACACCCAUCAUGCGAUUCUGUGUUACUCAGACAUGUGACUCUCUGUCUCUCUCUCUCUCACACACACACACACACACACACACACACACACACACACACACACACACACACACACACACACACACACACACACACACACACACACACACACACACACGUAUGAUUUUACCUGCAUAUGUUUUUACGUAUGUGUGUUUUUAGCUGUGUAUGUUUUUACAUGUGUGUAUGUUUUAGCUGUGUGUGUUGUUACUUGUUUAUGUGUGUGUUUUUACUUGUGUUUGUGUUGCUAUCUGUGCAUAUUUUUACUUGUGUAUGUUGUUACCAGUGUGUGUUGUUACCUGCAUGUGUUGUUAUCGGUGUUUUUUUUUUACUUAUGUGCGUUUUUGCCUGUGUGUGUUUUUUUAACCUGUGUGGGUGUUGUCAUCUAUGCGUGUUGUUACCUGUGUGUGUUUUACUUGUGUGUGUUGUUAUCUAUGUGGUUUUUUUUUUGCCUGUGUGUGUUUUUACGUGUGUUGUUACCUGUGUGUGUUUUUACCUGUACAGUCCUGCUUCUGCAGUUCUACACACUCCCACAUAUAAAUGAUUGAUUAGUGAUAUUAAUAUUGAUCAGGUGACACGUCUGUAACUGCAAUAAAUCAAGUUUUACCACAUGAA